rnacentral:rRNA from 1 species
GUGGCGACGGGUGAGUAACACGUGGGCAAUCUGCCCUUCACUCUGGGACAAGCCCUGGAAACGGGGUCUAAUACCGGAUAACACUCUGUCCUGCAUGGGACGGGGUUAAAAGCUCCGGCGGUGAAGGAUGAGCCCGCGGCCUAUCAGCUUGUUGGUGGGGUAAUGGCCUACCAAGGCGACGACGGGUAGCCGGCCUGAGAGGGCGACCGGCCACACUGGGACUGAGACACGGCCCAGACUCCUACGGGAGGCAGCAGUGGGGAAUAUUGCACAAUGGGCGAAAGCCUGAUGCAGCGACGCCGCGUGAGGGAUGACGGCCUUCGGGUUGUAAACCUCUUUCAGCAGGGAAGAAGCGCAAGUGACGGUACCUGCAGAAGAAGCACCGGCUAACUACGUGCCAGCAGCCGCGGUAAUACGUAGGGUGCGAGCGUUGUCCGGAAUUAUUGGGCGUAAAGAGCUCGUAGGCGGCUUGUCACGUCGGAUGUGAAAGCUCGGGGCUUAACCCCGAGUCUGCAUUCGAUACGGGCUAGCUAGAGUGUGGUAGGGGAGAUCGGAAUUCCUGGUGUAGCGGUGAAAUGCGCAGAUAUCAGGAGGAACACCGGUGGCGAAGGCGGAUCUCUGGGCCAUUACUGACGCUGAGGAGCGAAAGCGUGGGGAGCGAACAGGAUUAGAUACCCUGGUAGUCCACGCCGUAAACGUUGGGAACUAGGUGUUGGCGACAUUCCACGUCGUCGGUGCCGCAGCUAACGCAUUAAGUUCCCCGCCUGGGGAGUACGGCCGCAAGGCUAAACUCAAGGAAUUGACGGG